CCUACGGGUGGCAGCAGUGAGGAAUAUUGGUCAAUGGACGAGAGUCUGAACCAGCCAAGUAGCGUGAAGGAUGACUGCCCUAUGGGUUGUAAACUUCUUUUGUAAAGGAAUAAAACGAGGCACGUGUGCCUUUUUGCAUGUACUUUAUGAAUAAGGAUCGGCUAACUCCGUGCCAGCAGCCGCGGUAAUACGGAGGAUCCGAGCGUUAUCCGGAUUUAUUGGGUUUAAAGGGAGCGUAGAUGGGUUGUUAAGUCAGUUGUGAAAGUUUGCGGCUCAACCGUACAAUCGCAUUUGAUACUGGGAGUCUUGAGUACAGGUGAGGUAGGCGGAAUUCGUGGUGUAGCGGUGAAAUGCUUAGAUAUCACGAAGAACUCCGAUUGCGAAGGCAGCCUACUAAACUGUGACUGACAUUGAUGCUCGAAAGUGUGGGUAUCAAACAGGAUUAGAUACCCUGGUAGUC
rnacentral:rRNA from 1 species